GACGAACGCUGGCGGCGUGCCUAACACAUGCAAGUCGAACGAGGUCCAUCCGGUGGCAACACUGGGGAAGACCUAGUGGCGAACGGGUGAGUAACACGUGAGGAACCUGCCCCGAAGACCGGGAUAACCCUCCGAAAGGAGAGCUAAUACCGGAUACCCCCACCGGACCGCAUGAUCUGGUGAGGAAAUGGAUUCCGCUUCGGGAGGGCCUCGCGGCCUAUCAGCUUGUUGGUGGGGUAACGGCCCACCAAGGCUUCGACGGGUAGCUGGUCUGAGAGGACGAUCAGCCACACUGGGACUGAGACACGGCCCAGACUCCUACGGGAGGCAGCAGUGGGGAAUCUUGCGCAAUGGGCGAAAGCCUGACGCAGCAACGCCGCGUGGGGGAUGAAGGCUCUCGGGUUGUAAACCCCUUUCAGCAGGGACGAAUCUGACGGUACCUGCAGAAGAAGCCCCGGCCAACUACGUGCCAGCCGCCGCGGUAAAAC
rnacentral:rRNA from 1 species